rnacentral:rRNA from 1 species
CGUGGGUAACCUGCCUUAUAUGGGGGAUAGCCUUUCGAAAGGAAGAUUAAUACCGCAUAAGAUUGUAGUAUCGCAUGAUAUAGCAAUUAAAGGAGCAAUUCGCUAUAAGAUGGACCCGCGUCGCAUUAGCUAGUUGGUGAGGUAAUGGCUCACCAAGGCGACGAUGCGUAGCCGACCUGAGAGGGUGAUCGGCCACAUUGGGACUGAGACACGGCCCAGACUCCUACGGGAGGCAGCAUG